UCUCUCUCUCUCUCUCUGAGGUCGGAGCCUGCCAUGUCCGAUGACGAGCACCACUUCAAGUCGCCGACGCCGGAGCCUCUAAGACCUCUCCUCAGCAUUUCAUAGUUUGAUUGAAUGGGACUGAAGGGAUUCAAUUUCCUCCAAACGUAACUCAACUUCAAAAGAUCAAAGCAACAGUGAAGGAAUUGGGUUGCUAUCAUUCACUGUGAGCCAUGAAAGUGCUCGAAGGAGCACCCAGAUAUCUGGAGAAAUAAUGUAGUGCCUGUGUCGGAAGAGAUUUAAGUUUGAAUUCAUUAAGCUCAGUGGCAAAUGCACGAAGUCAGCUACCAUA